UAAGGCUGAGACACGACGUCGAGCACCUACGGGUGUGAAGUCAUUGAUGCCAUGCUUCCAGGAAAAGCCUCUAAGCUUCAGAUUGUAAGGAAUCGUACCCCAAACCGACACAGGUGGUCGGGUAGAGAAUACCAAGGCGCUUGAGAGAACUCGGGUGAAGGAACUAGGCAAAAUGGUACCGUAACUUCGGGAGAAGGUACGCUCUCGACGGUGAAGUCCCUCGCGGAUGGAGCUAUUGAGAGUCGCAGAUACCAGGUGGCUGCAACUGUUUAUUAAAAACACAGCACUGUGCAAAAUCGUAAGAUGACGUAUACGGUGUGACGCCUGCCCGGUGCCGGAAGGUUAAUUGAUGGGGUUAGACUUCGGUCGAAGCUCUUGAUCGAAGCCCCGGUAAACGGCGGCCGUAACUAUAACGGUCCUAAGGUAGCGAAAUUCCUUGUCGGGUAAGUUCCGACCUGCACGAAUGGCGUAAUGAUGGCCACGCUGUCUCCACCCGAGACUCAGUGAAAUUGAAAUCGCUGUGAAGAUGCAGUGUACCCGCGGCUAGACGGAAAGACCCCGUGAACCUUUACUACAGCUUGGCACUGAACAUUGACCCUACAUGUGUAGGAUAGGUGGGAGGCUUUGAAGCACGUACGCCAGUAUGUGUGGAGCCGUCCUUGAAAUACCACCCUUGUAGUGUUGAUGUUCUAACGUCGACCCCU
rnacentral:rRNA from 1 species